GACGAACGCUGGCGGCGUGCUUAACACAUGCAAGUCGAACGGAAAGGCCCUGCUUUUGUGGGGUGCUCGAGUGGCGAACGGGUGAGUAACACGUGAGUAACCUGCCCUUGACUUUGGGAUAACUUCAGGAAACUGGGGCUAAUACCGGAUAGGAGCUCCUGCUGCAUGGUGGGGGUUGGAAAGUUUCGGCGGUUGGGGAUGGACUCGCGGCUUAUCAGCUUGUUGGUGGGGUAGUGGCUUACCAAGGCUUUGACGGGUAGCCGGCCCGAGAGGGUGACCGGCCACAUGGGGACUGAGGUACGGCCCAGACUCCUACGGGAGGCAGCAGUGGGGAGUAUGGCGCAAUGGGCGGAAGCCUGAUGCAGCGGCGCCGCGUGCGGGAUGACGGCCUUCGGGUUGUAAACCGAUUUCGCCUGUGACGAAGCGUGAGUGACGGUAAUGGGUAAAGAAGCACCGGCUAACUACGUG
rnacentral:rRNA from 1 species